GCUGUUAAGGGUUCGUAGUUGAAUUGGGGGAAUUGGGGUAAACAAAGGCAUCUCGCCUCUUCCGGGAGACUCAACCAUUGACACUCCUUUCCCGAGAACAUAUGAAACGAGAAUCACGGGUCGUUUUCCCCGAAUCGCGUGCAAUGUACGUAGGGGACGUCCGUGUUUAUUACUGUGCAAAAGAAGGGUGACCAAAGCAGUCAUUCGAGAUGAAUUAGAAAGCAUGGAAUAACAAAGCGCAGCCUGUGGGCUCCAUUUUGGCUUUUGUUGGUUUUAGAGGUCCGUGGGAGAUUGUGGGCCCGCGGCCCGGCUGCACGGGAUUCGCUCCCGACAGUCCUCUGUGUUGGCGCAAGCCUUCGCGACUUGCUGGGUCUAGGAAUGAAGGAGGGUUGUUCGGGGGAGAACGUACUUGAGCGUGGAGGUGAAAUUCUUAGACCGCGCAAAGACGAACUACAGCGAAGGCAUUCUCCAAGGUACCUUCCUCAAUCAAGAACCAAAGUGCGGAGAUCGAAGAUGAUUAGAUACCAUUGUGUCCGU
rnacentral:rRNA from 1 species